GGACCGGGCACUUCCGGGAAUGGGAACCUCCCAGGCCGGCGUCCCGGGCGCUGCUGCGCGUGCGCAUUGAGGGACCGGGGCGGGGAGGGGGCAACUGUUCGGCCCCGCCCCCUGAGGAAGUUGUCGCCAGCUAGACGGUCUGAGCUGUCCAGGAGCAAGAAAGACUGCUUCGUUCCACAGCAUGCAAAAAUGAAGAAAAGGCAAAACCCGGCUUCGUAGUCAGAGGGCCCCAGUCCGGCACUGCCCCUGAAGGCUACCGGCACCGAGGGUGACCCGUGUGCCGCAGCCUGGCUGAAUUUCCCAGUAGUGAGGGCGCGGCAGCUUUACAGUCCCUGCCCAAUGGUACACUUUUGACAUACACAAUGAUCACAUUCGUCGUAGGGUAUUUGCACCUGUAAAUAACAUUUUAGACAACUUGCUUCAGCGUCUGGACCGGUGGUUCUCGAAGUGUGGUCCCGGGGCCAGCACAGUCCGCGUCACCUCGAGCCGGUGCAGGCAUUAUUCGCUCUUCAUAACGACCAUCUGUGUACCAUCGACCUCAGUUUACAUAGAACAGCCUUCUGGGACUGCGAGGAUUAAACAUAAUGAUGUCAGGCAACAUCUGCUAUCUCCUGGAUGUUACUGAAUGUGACCAGUUGGGCUGUGGAGCUGUGUCAAUCCUCUCUCUGGGAAGUAGCUGCAAGAGCCUCAUUUCUUUUCUAUCUCCUUUGUGGCCGGGAGGUACGAUCAAGACACACACACACACACACACACACACACACACACACACACACGACAUAAAGGAAGACCAAUUCGAUAAGAAAAGCAAAGGCCACACUGAUUCAGAGCUUGCUACAGCACAGAGGGUAGCCACCACGGCUUAUGACUGGCUGACAUUCAAAGGUCUACAGUGGAGAGAAGAACUUGGUGUGUGUGGGGUGAGUAGCCUCAUUAUGUCCUGAUUGGAGGCUGUUGUCCUGGGGAAGCUGAGGGAGCUCACUAGAACAGGGUAGUGAAUAUGAUUGAUUAGAGGAGCUGUUUGACUUUCACUGGUUGGUCCUAAAUUGGAAGUGGGGACAGAAAUUAGGGAAGCUUUCAGUUAUUGCUGUGGUCCUGGCCAUUUCUGGCCAAUUAUUGCCAAAGUUUUCAGCCCCUUGGAUUACUGCAAGUCUGCCUUACAGCAGGCUGGUCUCCUGGGGUGGUCGUGGUUUCCUGUGUAGAUUGCUACAGGCUGAGAGUUGAGGUCUAUUUUUAUAUACUGCCUGACCAUUUUCCGUGUCAUACUCAGUCUCUCAUGUUUUACCUUAAGAAGUAAUGUUUAAAACUGUCAUUUGAUCAUUUUUCCUGUCUUUUCUUGAGGUGUGACAAGUUCUAACGGAUGUCAAACACUGCUGCUUCCUAACAGUGAGGGUCAAGAAAGACAGAACGUCGGGUGUUUCCUAGGAGCCCCUCUGACGCCAAGCAGUUCCACCAUGGCACUUGGUGACUACGGAAGCGAUGGAGGGAGGCAGGUGGCAGUGCAGUCAGCCUUUCCUUCUGAAAUGACUCGAUUCCCUGGAAAGCACACCUCUGUCAUUACACAUUUAUGAGUUAAUGCUCAGCCCUGCUGCUUUGUCAGCAAAAAGGCUGUGACUGCCUCCUUUUGCUUGGGGCAGUUUAUCCAAGGCUAAGGGUGAAGGACUCUCUCUUCACACUUCCUUGGAAAGCUUUUUAGGAUGAAACCAGGGACAUCUGGCUCAUUCCUGGGUUUCUAAGGUGACAUACAAACAUAUUUCUGAGUAAGUGUUGCUUCCUUAAUCAUCCUGGAUACUGUAAUCAUUUUAGGCUGGCACUGUGCUCCAGUAAAGCUAUUAUAAUUCUUACACACAUAAAACUAUAGAGCAUUGACUAAUUCAUGGAGGCCCUUCCUGCACUCAAUGUGUACACACAUUCAAGGCCAUUUUAUUAGUCGUGGAUCACACUUCCUCUCUUUUAAGUGGAUCAUGGUUUAUAGAUUUUUACCUCCGUGUUAAAAUAUUUGUCGUAACUAUUCCCGCCUGGACUUGCCUCAGACUCUGAGAAUGUAUGAAUCUUGCAAAUCAUCCUUAAUGUGUGGUGGCUCAGUGGAUCUCCUUGGUUAAGCAUAGCUCACUUACCUAACUGAUGAUCUCGGGAGUUUGUGGACACUGCCUGCU
rnacentral:lncRNA from 1 species